GGGGUCAGCCUCUAUAAAGGAUGCUAUGGAACAGGUACAUUUUACCAUGUACCCCAUAUAAUGUACUUACAGAGUUGUUUCUCUCUAGGGAUUGCCCUGCUACAGAAAAAGUAAUAGCCUUUGACGUACGGGUUUGUGAGGUGUAUUAAAAGCAUGAGUUAGCCGCUCUCUAAUAUCUCUGGAGAUCCUAAUAUCUGACAACAAAUCCUCAUCUGGACGGCACAGAACCUGUAAAACUCAGUGGAGGAACGCAGAGCCUUUUCUUCCUGAAAAGAUCCAAACAAGAAAUGGAUUCUCUCUAAACCCAACACUGCAAUUUUGGGAAAGGCGUAUUUACAAACACCUUGAGUAAUCACAGAUGCCCUCCACCACAUCCCAGCUCCUUUUCACAAAAUCUCUCACACGGCAUCCAAGCGAUUCAAUGCUUAAGAGCAGUUGCCCCAGUUGUCCCUCGCCUUUCAGGCAACCAACUGCCUGCUAAGAUGCAAAGGGCCCAGGAAAUUCAAAGGGCUUGAUAUGCGCUGGCCAGUGUAUAGACAACGCCUUCUAGUCUGUGCUUUGUUCUCAAGGGGAACAGUUUUAUUUUAUUCUCAUGACAGAUUAUUUUGGAUUUCAAAGGAAGAUGAACACUUGGGUUGCCUGCACGGCAGACAAUGACUUCCAGGACCACAACUACUCUUUCCUCCCUGCCAGCAUCUUCAUAAUGCCAAAUGGGACAGAGAGACAUAAAAUUUCAAUUACAUGCGAUGAAAAAAGAAUAUGUUUCCAAUUAGCCUGCUCCAACACCCACUGAAGUCAAUAUGAUCUUUGCCUUUGGAUUUCAAGAGGAUCAGUUUUUCCCUGGUCAGGCUCCCUCUUUCACUGAAGGACUCUGAAGGACAAAAAUCAAGGGAGGAAAGCCCUGGGCACUUCUGCCAGCCACCUUUUUUACAACCCACAGCCUCUUCAACCAAUGGUCAAACAUCCUCAGUCCUUUUGCAAGCAGCGAGGCAUCAACAUUUCUGUCUGCGUGGGAUGUUUCAAUUUGUGCUUUUUCCUUGUUGUUUUAACAUAAAACCUACUAUUUCUAAAAGUGAAUUUUAAAUCAAAGAUAUUUUUUCCCUUUUAUCUUAAACUCACUCCAUAAGCUACAUAGUACAAAAUAAAGUCACAUUCAUCACAAGGAAGAGUGUGCCA
rnacentral:lncRNA from 1 species